AGCGAACGCUGGCGGCAGGCUUAACACAUGCAAGUCGAACGGGCGUAGCAAUACGUCAGUGGCAGACGGGUGAGUAACGCGUGGGAACGUACCUUUUGGUUCGGAACAACCCAGGGAAACUUGGGCUAAUACCGGAUAAGCCCUUACGGGGAAAGAUUUAUCGCCGAAAGAUCGGCCCGCGUCUGAUUAGCUAGUUGGUGAGGUAACGGCUCACCAAGGCGACGAUCAGUAGCUGGUCUGAGAGGAUGAUCAGCCACAUUGGGACUGAGACACGGCCCAAACUCCUACGGGAGGCAGCAGUGGGGAAUAUUGGACAAUGGGCGCAAGCCUGAUCCAGCCAUGCCGCGUGAGUGAUGAAGGCCCUAGGGUUGUAAAGCUCUUUUGUGCGGGAAGAUAAUGACGGUACCGCAAGAAUAAGCCCCGGCUAACUUCGUGCCAGCCGCCGCUGUAAG
rnacentral:rRNA from 1 species